AAGGAGUGGAUUUCAAUGACUAGUUUUGUCAGUAAUGAAUGAACUGUUCUUUGUGGGUGUUUGCUGUUUUUGUCUUGUCAUGCAGUGAGGGCCUGUUUAAGUAUGGGAGUGUCCCCUUGGAGCUCUUCCUAGUGAGCACAUGCCCCCAAAGUACUGCUCUAUGUUUGGAUAGAAAUGUUGAAUUCAGGGUGGCUUCCUGA
rnacentral:lncRNA from 1 species